rnacentral:rRNA from 1 species
GACGAACGCUGGCGGCGUGCCUAAUACAUGCAAGUAGAACGCUGAAGGAGGAGCUUGCUCUUCUGGAUGAGUUGCGAACGGGUGAGUAACGCGUAGGUAACCUGCCUGGUAGCGGGGGAUAACUAUUGGAAACGAUAGCUAAUACCGCAUAACAGUAGAUGUUGCAUGACAUUUGCUUAAAAGGUGCAAUUGCACCACUACCAGAUGGACCUGCGUUGAAUUAGCUAGUUGGUGGGGUAACGGCUCACCAAGGCGACGAUACAUAGCCGACCUGAGAGGGUGAUCGGCCACACUGGGACUGAGACACGGCCCAGACUCCUACGGGAGGCAGCAGUAGGGAAUCUUCGGCAAUGGACGGAAGUCUGACCGAGCAACGCCGCGUGAGUGAAGAAGGGUUUCGGAUCGUAAAGCUCUGUUGUAAGAGAAGAACGAGUGUGAGAGUGGAAAGUUCACACUGUGACGGUAUCUUACCAGAAAGGGACGGCUAACUACGUG